AGGGAUGCUACCGGGCGACCGGAUGCGGAUCUCGAAAGCCUGUCCCAGUUCGGACUGGAGUCUGCAACCCGACUCCACGAGGUUGGAUUCGCUAGUAAUCGCGCAUCAGCCAUGGCGCGGUGAAUACGUUCCCGGGCCUUGUACACACCGCCCGUCAAGCCAUGGGAGCCGGGGGCGCCUGAAGUCCGGGACCGCGAGGACCGGCCUAGGGCGAAACUGGUAACUGGGGCUAAGUCGUAACAAGGUAGC
rnacentral:rRNA from 1 species